UGGGGAAUAUUGGACAAUGGGCGCAAGCCUGAUCCAGCCAUGCCGCGUGAGUGAUGAAGGCCCUAGGGUUGUAAAGCUCUUUUGUGCGGGAAGAUAAUGACGGUACCGCAAGAAUAAGCCCCGGCUAACUUCGUGCCAGCAGCCGCGGUAAUACGAAGGGGGCUAGCGUUGCUCGGAAUCACUGGGCGUAAAGGGUGCGUCGGCGGGUCUUUAAGUCAGGGGUGAAAUCCUGGAGCUCAACUCCAGAACUGCCUUUGAUACUGAGGAUCUUGAGUUCGGGAGAGGUGAGUGGAACUGCGAGUGUAGAGGGGAAACUCGUAGAUAUUCGCAAGAACACCAGUGGCGAAGGCGGCUCACUGGCCCGAUACUGACGCUGAGGCACGAAAGCGUGGGGAGCAAACA
rnacentral:rRNA from 1 species